GAUGAACGCUAGCGGCAGGCCUAAUACAUGCAAGUCGGACGGGAUUGAGCUUUCGGGCUCAUGAGAGUGGCGCACGGGUGCGUAACACGUAUGUAACCUACCUUUAUCAGGGGGAUAGCCUCUCGAAAGAGAGAUUAACACCGCAUAACAUCACGAGGCAGCAUUGUUUUGUGAUCAAAUAUUUAUAGGAAAAAGAUGGGCAUGCGGGACAUUAGCUAGUUGGCGGGGUAACGGCCCACCAAGGCGACGAUGUCUAGGGGAUCUGAGAGGAUGACCCCCCACACGGGUACUGAGACACGGACCAGACUCCUACGGGAGGCAGCAGUAAGGAAUAUUGGUCAAUGGGCGCAAGUCUGAACCAGCCAUGCCGCGUGCAGGAAGACGGCCCUAUGGGUUGUAACUGCUUUUGUACCGGAAUAAACCUUGAUACGUGUAUCAAGCUGAAUGUACGGUAAGAAUAAGGAUCGGCUAACUCCGUGCCAGCCGCCGCAGUAA
rnacentral:rRNA from 1 species